UGCCCUAAUAGUUCCCCGCCCGGGAACAAGGAGCUGGUAUCAGGCACAACCCUACUGAGCCCACGACACCUUGCUUAGCCACACCCUCAAGGGAACUCAGCAGUGAUAAACAUUAAGCCAUAAGUGAAAACUUGACUUAGUUAAAGCUAAGAGGGCCGGUAAAACUCGUGCCAGCCACCGCGGUUAUACGAGAGGCCCAAGUUGACAAACACCGGCGUAAAGCGUGGUUAAGUUAAAAAUCGUACUAAAGCCAAACAUCUUCAAGACUGUUAUACGUAACCGAAGACAGGAAGUUCAACCACGAAAGUCGCUUUAUCUGAUCUGAAUCCACGAAAGCUAAGGAACAAACUGGGAUUAGAUACCCCACUAUGCCUAGCCCUAAACAUUGAUAGUACUAUACACCCACUAUCCGCCCGGGUACUACGAGCAACAGCUUAAAACCCAAAGGACUUGGCGGUGCUUUAGAUCCACCUAGAGGAGCCUGUUCUAGAACCGAUAACCCCCGUUCAACCUCACCCUUCCUUGUUUUACCCGCCUAUAUACCGCCGUCGUCAGCUUACCCUGUGAGGGACUAAUAGUAAGCAGAACUGGUACAACCUAAAACGUCAGGUCGAGGUGUAGCGUAUGGAGGGGGAAGAAAUGGGCUACAUUCGCUACCACAGCGAACACGAAUGAUGCACUGAAACACACAUCUGAAGGAGGAUUUAGCAGUAAGCUG
rnacentral:rRNA from 1 species